rnacentral:misc_RNA from 1 species
GAUGAAGAACGCAGCGAAAUGCGAUAAGUAAUGUGAAUUGCAGAAUUCAGUGAAUCAUCGAAUCUUUGAACGCACAUUGCGCCCUCUGGUAUUCCGGGGGCAUGCCUGUUCGAGCGUCAUUAUAACCACUCAAGCUCUCGCUUGGUAUUGGGGUUCGCGGUUCCGCGGCCCCUAAAAUCAGUGGCGGUGCCUGUCGGCUCUACGCGUAGUAAUACUCCUCGCGAUUGAGUCCGGUAGGUCUACUUGCCAGCAACCCCCAAUUUUUACAGGUUGACCUCGGAUCAGGUAGGGAUACCCGCUGAACUUAAGCAUAUCAAUAAGCGGAGGA